CUCAGAACGAACGCUGGCGGCGUGGAUUAUGCAUGCAAGUCGGACGAGAAAGCCCCCUUCGGGGUGGUGAGUACAGUGGCGAAUGGGUGAGUAACGGGUGGGCAAUCUACCCUCGAGCGGGGGAUAACACCUGGAAACGGGUGCUAAUACCGCGUAACAUACAUCGGCGGCAUCGUCGAUGGAUCGAAGAUGGCCUCUGCUUGCAAGCUGUCACUUGAGGAUGAGCCCGCCUCCUAUUAGCUUGUUGGUGGGGUAACGGCCUACCAAGGCGAUGAUAGGUAGCCGGCCUGAGAGGGUGUCCGGCCACACUGGGAUUGAGAUACGGCCCAGACUCCUACGGGAGGCAGCAGUCUAGAGGCUUCCGCAAUGGGGGAAACCCUGACGGAGCGACGCCGCGUGCGGGAUGAAGGCUUUCGGGUUGUAAACCGCUGUCAGGUGGAAAGAAAGGUUCGGUGAUUAAGAGUUGCCGUGCUUGACGUUACCACCAGAGGAAGCUCCGGCCAACUCCGUGCCAGCAGCCGCGGUAAUACGGAGGGAGCGAGCGUUGUUCGGAAUUAUUGGGCGUAAAGGGCGUGUAGGCGGCCUUGCAAGUCUGAUGUGAAAUCCCUACGGCUCAACCGAGGAAUUGCAUCGGAAACUGCAUGGCUUGAGGACGGGAGAGGAGAGCGGAAUUCCUGGUGUAGCGGUGAAAUGUGUAGAUAUCAGGAGGAACACCCGUGGCGAAGGCGGCUCUCUGGCCCGACCCUGACGCUGAGGCGCGAAAGCGUGGGUAGCAAACAGGAUUAGAUACCCUGGUAGUCCACGCUGUAAACGAUGGGCACUAGGUGUAGGAGGUAUCGACCCCUUCUGUGCCGUAGCUAACGCAUUAAGUGCCCCGCCUGGGGAGUACGGCCGCAAGGCUUAAACUCAAAGGAAUUGACGGGGGCCCGCACAAGCGGUGGAGCAUGUGGUUUAAUUCGACGCAACGCGAAGAACCUUACCAGGGCUUGAAAUGACUCUGACCGCCUGGGAAACCAGGCUUCCCUUCGGGGCGGAGCCACAGGUGGUGCAUGGCUGUCGUCAGCUCGUGUCGUGAGAUGUUGGGUUAAGUCCCGCAACGAGCGCAACCCUCGUCUUUAGUUGCCAGCAUUAAGUUGGGCACUCUAGAGAGACUGCCGGUGACAAACCGGAGGAAGGUGGGGAUGACGUCAAGUCAGCAUGCCCCUUACGCUCUGGGCGACACACGUACUACAAUGGUCGGGACAGAGGGCAGCGAACCUGCGAAGGCAAGCUAAUCCCAGCAAACUCGGCCUCAGUUCAGAUCGCAGGCUGCAACUCGCCUGCGUGAAGGAGGAAUCGCUAGUAAUCGCCGGUCAGAAUACGGCGGUGAAUCCGUUCCCGGGCCUUGUACACACCGCCCGUCACACCAUGGAAGCUGGCCACGCCCGAAGUCGUUACCCUAA
rnacentral:rRNA from 1 species